rnacentral:rRNA from 1 species
ACACUCCUGCGGGAGGCAGCAGUGGGGAAUAUUGCACAAUGGGCGCAAGCCUGAUGCAGCCAUGCCGCGUGUGUGAAGAAGGCCUUCGGGUUGUAAAGCACUUUCAGCGGGGAGGAAGGCAAUGCGGUUAAUAACCGUGUUGAUUGACGUUACCCGCAGAAGAAGCACCGGCUAACUCCGUGCCAGCAGCCGCGGUAAUACGGAGGGUGCAAGCGUUAAUCGGAAUUACUGGGCGUAAAGCGCACGCAGGCGGUCUGUCAAGUCGGAUGUGAAAUCCCCGGGCUCAACCUGGGAACUGCAUUCGAAACUGGCAGGCUUGAGUCUUGUAGAGGGGGGUAGAAUUCCAGGUGUAGCGGUGAAAUGCGUAGAGAUCUGGAGGAAUACCGGUGGCGAAGGCGGCCCCCUGGACAAAGACUGACGCUCAGGUGCGAAAGCGUGGGGAGCAAACAGGAUUAGAAACCCUAGUAGUCCCA